rnacentral:lncRNA from 13 species
GAUUACAUUAUUAUAGGAACUGAACCACAGACACCUUGAUUACAUUAUUAUAGGAACUGAACCACAGACACCUUGAUUACGUUAUUAUAGGAACUGAACCACAGACACCUUGAUUACGUUAUUAUAGGAACUGAACCACCGACACCUUGAUUACGUUAUUAUAGGAACUGAACCACCAACACCUUGAUUACAUUAUUAUAGGAACUGAACCACCGACACCUUGAUUAUAUUAUUAUAGGAACUGAACCACCGACACCUUGAUUACAUUAUUAUAGGAACUGAACCACAGACACCUUGAUUACAUUAUUAUAGGAACUGAACCACAGACANNNNNNNNNNNNNNNNNNNNNNNNNNNNNNNNNNNNNNNNNNNNNNNNNNNNNNNNNNNNNNNNNNNNNNNNNNNNNNNNNNNNNNNNNNNNNNNNNNNNAAAGGUGAGCUUACAGAGGAAGGAAUGGAUGGAUGUGACAGACUCAUUCAUCCGUUUGACAAAAUAUCAACACAAUCAGAUCUGACUUGAUGUCUCAAGAUCUUUUAAGUUUGAGGCUUACGGAGGAGAGCGGUACACCCUGAGUAUGAAUAACUCUUUCAAACCCUGUAUCAUCUCCUCACAGCUGGAGGCAGCCAUCUUAACCGCGAAACAGCAGGGCCAGUCCAGCGUGGGGAAGACUGUGGAACAGGAGAAGACUGCUCUGAAGAGAGAGCUGGACGUGAUGCAUCAGGAGCUACUCUCUGCUCAGAACAAGGUGUGUGAGGUUCAGCGAGAGCUGGACAGUCUACGUCAGGAGAAUGAGGGGCUGAAGACCCAACAGGCUCCACUACAGGCCUGGCUUCUGGAGGCCCAGCUGGGUGGUCUGUUGCCCCCCUCCCCUCGCAGGAUGCCUGGUGAGUGGAGAGGACAACACUGCGAGAACGACCACAACCCAGAGAACAUACAGGGUGCUGCAAUGCCAGAACAGAGGGCCGCUCAUGCCGACAGCUACCGGAGGAUCGGUGGACUCUGACUGACAGCAGCUUGGCAGUUUCAAACAUCCCCUAGUCUGGGUUCCUUACUUUCCGUCUGUCCUCCUCACCUAACUCCAGCCCCACCUGAUUCUCCAAGACUCAUCUCCCCUUAAUCCCCCUUACCUGGUAGUUUCUAACUCCCUCCAAACAUGUCCUCCUCACCUAACCCCAGCCCAACCUAAUCCUCCAGGAAUUCCCUGAAUUUCCCCAUAUCCCACUUCGUUUGUUACUCUGCCUUCCGUCCUUAUAGGAGAUGACCAGUGAUCUGAAUGGGGUGUUAGAUACAGCUCAGUGUAAGGGGGUGUGUAAUGAGUGUAUGCAUCCACUAGGUGGCGUAUGAGAGUAAAACAGGCUAGUCUUUUGUUAUUUUCCUCAAAUCAAAGUGCUUUCUUAAACUCUUAACAGUAUGUGAACUGUUGAGUCAAAGGUUCAUGAAAUAUGCUCUGAUUGCAGUAGAUUCCUUGUUCCAACAAUGUAUUAUGUGAAAUAUUUUUCACUGUAUUUCAUAUUGAUAUUUUUUUUUGCACUUAACCCACAUCACCAAUGUCAACUGAUUUUUGUUUAUCUUUGUCACAUAGGAUUUUAAUAAACUUUUGUUGGUGAACAUGCUCACCUCUCACUACAGGUACGGGUAUAUCUGAAAGUACUGUGGUUUAUUGUGAAACUGGACCUGUUUAGUACCAACAGUAUUGAACUGGACCUGUUUAGUACCAACAGUAUUGAACUGGACCUGUUUAGUACCAACAGUAUUGAACUGGACCUGUUUAGUACCAACAGUAUUGAACUGGAAAGGACCAACAACCGUUUUGAUUGUAAAACAAAUGUACAUAUUUUUUCAUGAUAUUUAUCAGAGAGCUUUGAUUCAUGUUGCAACCAUGUUAUAGUAUUGUCGCUAUGGUUCUUCGGGAUCUUUUGAUAGUCCAGACUGAACUAAUAAGAUCCAGGUGGUAUCAGGGUCUUCUAGAUCAUGUCAAACCACCAGUUUUAUUCUCUAUUGCUCUGUGUGCUUCUGUUUUCGUUCAUUUUUAUUUAAAUUCACGUAUUGUAUUUCACUUUUUGUAGAAUUUUUUUUUUUUUUUUUUUUU